UACUAUGAUGAUAUUGUUCACCAGCUGUUA
rnacentral:piRNA from 1 species